rnacentral:rRNA from 1 species
CUUUCUUUGCUGGCGACCGGCGCACGGGUGAGUAACACGUAUCCAACCUGCCCUUUACUCGGGGAUAGCCUUUCGAAAGAAAGAUUAAUACCCGAUAGUAUAAUGAUUCCGCAUGGUUUCAUUAUUAAAGGAUUCCGGUAAAGGAUGGGGAUGCGUUCCAUUAGGUUGUUGGUGAGGUGACGGCUCACCAAGCCUUCGAUGGAUAGGGGUUCUGAGAGGAAGGUCCCCCACAUUGGAACUGAGACACGGUCCAA